rnacentral:rRNA from 1 species
CAAGUGCUCAGCUCAUCCCCGCCAAAUAUUUCGUUCAGGCGGGAUUUGAUCGGCACCCGACUUAUGUCAUGGAAUAAUCUAUUGUCCCGUCUGGAUUCGAUUAUCCUGACACAAGGUCGUGAUGUGUUUCGCUGGAACCUUACUACAUCGGGGUCUUUCACAGUAGACUCUAUGUAUCGUGCACUCACGCAUUCUGAGGUACCAGUGAAUAAUAACAAAAAAAAUUGGAAAGCGAAGGUACCACUUAAAGUCAAAAUAUUCAUGUGGUAUCUCCGUAGGGGAGUUGUGCUAACAAAAGACAACCUUGCACGACGCAACUGGUCGGGAAGUAAGAAGUGUUGUUUUUGUACUCACGACAAGACAAUUAAACACCUCUUUUUUCACUGUAAGUUUGUGCGUUCUACGUGGUCAGCCAUCCAAAUAGCCUCAAAUUUGUAUCCGUCCACAAGUGUUGUCAAUAUUUUUGGUCAUUGGCUGGACGGUAUUUCAAAUAGGUACAAAACACUAAUAAGGGUGGGAGCGUAUGCCUUACUAUGGUCGCUUUGGCUAUGUAGAAAUGAUGUUGUUUUUAAUGACAAAAUUGUUUCUCCUUUGCAGGUUAUUUUCCGUUGUACGCACUCGCUUCGUACGUGGUGUUCGCUACAACAAACGGAGUACCAAUCGUUGUUCAAGGCGGUGUGUACGCUGUUGGAGCAGGUGGCUACGGAGGUUUUUACCCAACGUGGAUGGCAGCAUAAUCUCCGGCUCGGUCCACCAUCUUUUUCGACAUAG